GCUUUCAAGACCAGGCUAUCCCUGCUGUCUGCUGGCACUUGACGUCCAGGAGGGUGGACUUAGCUUCGCUGGGCGGACAGCUCUGGCCCAGGGUGAUAGCAGUGCCCUCUCUGGACUUUGCCUAGGUUCCGUGCUUCCUCUUCUGUGGUCUCACUCUUCCCUACUCUUGCCCCUCACUCUGAGGUUAAGGGGUCACUUAAAACCUUGCCCCUGGGUCGUCCGGUAAGCCUGUGGAGGAUGUAGAGUCGGUGCUGGAGUCUUGGGCACGGCAUUUUGUGUUCACCAUGGCAAGCAGAUGGCACCAGGAGAUAUGGAGCCCCUGCCAGUGUGAGUCGUAGCAGUGCAGGAGGGCUCACCCUGGAGGAGACAGCGGCCUCGGUUGACGCCUACACAGUGAAUUCCAGAGGCUUAGGAAGCGCGUCCCUGCCCUGGGUCCAGGCCUUUCUCAGGAAGCCCUGUGCUCAGGAGGCCAUCGUUGAAGUCAGCUUGUAGGGGGUGGGCAGGUGCUUCCAGCCGGAGGGGCCGUCGGCUGUGAAUGUUCCAGAUGAAUGUCUUGUUCUGGGAGCAUCAUUCUUUGCGGAUGCAUGAAUGGCAGCAGGCACCCUUUUUCAUGGGGGUAGAGGCGUUCGACUGCUGCAUCUUCUAAACAAGCCUCCAUCCAGCCUUUGUAGUUCUGUGCUGCGAACUUGGCCUCGAGAAGAUUGCGUAAGGUGUAGGACACUUUAACGUCUGCGCAGCGUGCUGCACUGUAGAUCGGGACCCCAGUGACCUCGCCCACCUUCCCUGCUUCUGCAGCCUGCCUGCCUCUGCAUUGGUCAGAGGGAUUCUUAACUGAAAACUUGUGGGUGUUGGGGAAAGCUGUUGGGUUGUAAAUGACUGGUGUGGAGGAAUCUUCCUUAGAUGGAGCUGGUUGUAAAAUGGGUAGGGUUUGUGGUUUAACAGUGGGAAGGCGCAAGUUAGCCACAAAUUCUGCCGACUUGGUAGAUGCCGUAUCUAAUUUGGGCUUUGGGACGUCUUCUGGACUAAAAGG
ensembl:lincRNA Neat1 nuclear paraspeckle assembly transcript 1 (non-protein coding)